CUCUCUUUUGUUUGGUGGGUUUUUCAUGUUUUUCUUUUCUAGCCAUAUGGUUUCCAUUCAUUAUGGAAAUAUAUGGGCCCCUAUCCUCGAGCCUGAUAUGGGAAUUUUCUUUAUCAAUUUUGUUUUCUUAGUUCCACUGCGAACCAAGCAAAUGUCUUUCCAAAUGUCUGUAUGUUUGUUAGUCAGUCCGUCUUGUAUUUGAUUGUCUAAUAAAAU